AUUCAGUUGGCCUUCCGCGGCUGCGCUGACCGGUCUCUACCAAAGUUCGGAUCCCAUGAUUGGGCCGGAUCGGUUGCGUGUGGUCGUGGUGUCCGACGCAUUUUUUCCCGUCCUAAGGACGCCGCAGCCGGUUGGGAAUCGACGGCCUGAAAGGUGGACGCCGGCAGGUGGCCGGUGGCGUCGCUUCGGCUUCGCCGCCGGUUGUUAGCCUGUUCGCCUGUGGCUCGUCGCCCGACCGAGGUAUCACGAGGCCCUUUUGGGCUCCUUCCGCCUCCUCCCUUAAAAGGAAGCGGGAUUAUGACUCGGCAGGCGCUCGUAGGUGGUGCAGCCGCACGCUGUAACUGCGUGGGCGGCGCCUUCGCGACGUCGAUGGUCGUAUCGUACCCGUGGGAGUGCUGGCGGCUGGCGGCGAGUAGAUCGGUCACCCACCCGACCCGUCUUGAAACACGGACCAAGGAGUCUAACAUGUGCGCGAGUCAAUGGGUCUUGAACAGGCCCAGAGGCGCAAUGAAAGCAAAGGCCGGCACUGACGCCGGCUGUGUUGGGACCUCUCGGCCUACGAGUCGAGGGAGCACCAACGACCCGUCCUGUCCGAUUUACCUCGGUUGGGCGGAGUUUGAGCGUACACGUUGGGACCCGAAAGAUGGUGAACUAUGCCCGGGCAGGACGAGGCCAGAGGAAACUCUGGUGGAGGUCCGUAGCGGUUCUGACGUGCAAAU
rnacentral:rRNA from 1 species